rnacentral:lncRNA from 1 species
CUUGAAAUCUUUAAGCGAAACCUCCAAGCUCUCCUUGAAUCACAACAAUGGCGUAUGGGUGGGAGGAAAAACCUCUCGGGUUUUCUCUAGCUCUUCUAACCGAACCUUGCUUCCUUUCUCUUUUUUUCUAACCGAACCUUGCUUCCUUUCUCUUUUUUUCUAACCGAACCUUGCUUCCUUUCUCUUUUUUUCUUUUUUUCUUUCUUUCAUUUCUUUCUUCUCUUUUCUCUUUUCUUCUUGGAUAUGGGCGGACUUCUCAAAAGCAUAGCCUUAAAAUGGUUUUUUUUAUUUUAUUAUUUGUCACCUAUGGGCGGAUUGUCUAAAGUCUCACCUUUUCCAUCAUUUUUUUCUUUU